GCCAUUUCCUUUCCCAUAUGGGAUUUUCCCACUUUUCCUUCAAGCUUAGUUCUUUUGGGACACCUGCUCUGUGAAGCCUUCCUAGAAUUCCUUUCCUGUGGUAGAGAUCUUCAUGGCAGAAUGGUGUCUACACUACUGACACAGUUCUCACAUUGCAUCUCACAAUUAGUCACAUACUUGCCUGUCCUCCACCUGAAGCUCAGGGACUGGGGUCACUUCACUCUGUCCCCACUCU
rnacentral:lncRNA from 1 species